CCUGAGAAACCCAAAAGAUCGAAUGGGGAGAUUCAUCGUCAGCUCAUUUUGUAUAUAUAUUAGUUAUGAUGCGGGUUACUACUUGUAGUAUUGCCUGCACGUGCUUUUAUAUUUUAUUGCAAGGUGUUGUCGGCGUGCACUUCUCCCCUAGUAGAACGUCGCGACCCGUUGGGUGUCGGUUUACGGCCCAAGUGAUAGACUUUAAUGUAAUUUAAAAAACAUUGAAGAUCCUUGGUGUUUUCUAACCGGCUACUCGGCGGUACUCGUACGGUAUUUAGCCGCUAAUUUAUUUAGCGUCCAUGUCCGUCGCAAGCGAGGCUAAUUUUUACUGAUAGUACGGACCUAGUGCCGUCGUUGGUAUUGGCCAGCUGUUGGUUGUACGGUAUUCUAGGACUGGCUAAAAAUUAAUUACCGGUCGGCGAUGCUACUGCUUUGGGUACUUUCAGG
rnacentral:rRNA from 1 species